UGCUCCCUGAUGUUAGCGGCGGACGGGUGAGUAACACGUGGGUAACCUGCCUGUAAGACUGGGAUAACUCCGGGAAACCGGGGCUAAUACCGGAUGCUUGAUUGAACCGCAUGGUUCAAUUAUAAAAGGUGGCUUUUAGCUACCACUUACAGAUGGACCCGCGGCGCAUUAGCUAGUUGGUGAGGUAACGGCUCACCAAGGCAACGAUGCGUAGCCGACCUGAGAGGGUGAUCGGCCACACUGGGACUGAGACACGGCCCAGACUCCUACGGGAGGCAGCAGUAGGGAAUCUUCCGCAAUGGACGAAAGUCUGACGGAGCAACGCCGCGUGAGUGAUGAAGGUUUUCGGAUCGUAAAACUCUGUUGUUAGGGAAGAACAAGUACCGUUCGAAUAGGGCGGUACCUUGACGGUACCUAACCAGAAAGCCACGGCUAACUACGUGCCAGCAGCCGCGGUAAUACGUAGGUGGCAAGCGUUGUCCGGAAUUAUUGGGCGUAAAGCGCGCGCAGGCGGUUUCUUAAGUCUGAUGUGAAAGCCCCCGGCUCAACCGGGGAGGGUCAUUGGAAACUGGGGAACUUGAGUGCAGAAGAGGAGAGUGGAAUUCCACGUGUAGCGGUGAAAUGCGUAGAGAUGUGGAGGAACACCAGUGGCGAAGGCGACUCUCUGGUCUGUAACUGACGCUGAGGCGCGAAAGCGUGGGGAGCGAACAGGAUUAGAUACCCUGGUAGUCCACGCCGUAAACGAUGAGUGCUAAGUGUUAGAGGGUUUCCGCCCUUUAGUGCUGCAGCAAACGCAUUAAGCACU
rnacentral:rRNA from 1 species